AACAUGUUAAGGAACAAAAAGGAAGGACAUGUUAAGUUGUGUUUUAGUAAAGCAAGGAAAUUUUGUCAUUUCAUGAAUCCUCAUCUGAUCCCUCACAGUGUCUUGUGCUCGCAGCGAGAAUCGACUCGCCACUAAUUAUGUGAUCGUAUUUAAAUCCAGGCAUACUUACAGUUGAAACACAGUCUAGGUAGUGCCUGUGGUUAGCUAGUUGUUCCUUCACUGUCUCGUCAUCCCUCACUAUAUCCCUUCUUGCUUGUUCAUUUGUUCCGCUAAAUUCGCUCCCUGGGAUCCAUGGGACAUUCGCCUUAUAUCUCAGCAUCUUAUCUUUUACACCAAUCUCACGUCCUCGAAAUGCCAUUGCCAUUUUAAAAGCAGCGAAGAUCCUAAUAUAUUAAACCCUUCGUCGACGAAAAAUAAUUAAAUAAAGAAAAAUGAAACUAAACGAAGCUUGCGGGUGGUUUUAUAUGGUCCCUGAAGGGGGAACACACUGCAUGCAAAUAAACCCCUUACAAGGAGUAGAGAGAGUCGGGAUUAAACACAUAUUCAAAGAUCUCGCAAAUCGUCUUGGAUUUCAAUUCAGUAUUUCAUGCAGAAUCAGCUAGCGGCCUAGCACCAUCAUCUUCUCAAUAGAAUAUGAUUGCAGAAAUAAAACUAGUACUGUGUCGUUGUGUUGAACAACGACUUUUAAAGUUCUGUGACUGGAUGAAGUUUUGAUCAAGUCCCAGAAUUGGAACUAAAGUUUUGAUCAAGUUUAUCUGACUUAUAUGUGCCCUUGAACUUGAAAUCCAACCUAAAUCACUCAUUAAUAAUUUACGUAACUGAAACUUAAGGCCGUUUUCCACUAGGCGGAAUUUUCCGCGCGGAGCGGAAUUUCUCUUUGUCAGUUUUCUAAUUAGUUCCACCCGAGAAAUCACGAGACAAAGAAAAAUUCCGCUCCGCGCGGAAAAUUCCGCCUAGUGGAAAACCGGCUUUAAGUUAGAGUUAUAAACUUUGCCGAUGAAACAGUACAUUACAUGACAGGACAAAAACAAACGUACAUAAUGAAAUACAGUAGGUACAUGACCACGGCUGGGUGACCACAACAGCGAAUAGCCAAUUACUGCGGGCAUACACAUACAACAUACGUUACAGGUGUGAAUUCGUGUGAUCUUAUUUACAGUUCAACUGCAUGCAACACGAUAUUGGACGUAACAAGCUUCGAAUACAAUUACAUUUCACACAUAUACUCUUAAAUGUUCGAGAGUUUUCAGGAUCAUAAUUAAUGUUCAGUGAUGUAAAGUAAUACUUGAGCAAAUCUGAUUUAAAUACAGACAUGCUGGUAUCCUUAGUGCAUGAGGUUCAGUUCAUCUGCAAGAUAAUUCCAAACUCGGCACGCUCUUACGAGGAAAGAUUUUUGGUAGGUGGUAGUUCUGCAUUUAGGGAUGACAUUUUCAUCAAAUGUGAUGCCAAUAUAAUAUGUGAAGAGGGGCCAUGGCCCCUCAGCCUCGUUUUCGUGUUUAAGCUUACUUCCACAUUUAACAGUCAAAAUCCAAAAUUCUUUUUUAUUCAUGUGUUGACGAAGGAUGUUCUGCUUCUCUGAUCAUAGCCCAUGAGAAACAAACUUGAAAUAUAUUCCAUUUAAGGUGGUCCUAAGUUGAAAACAGUGUAGUUGUGACGUAAUUACGGGAAAGGUCUAUUCAACCUUGAUUUUGCUGUCUUGGGCGAGCGCUUUCCAUUAACACGGCCAGACCGGUGAGAACGGUCAAAUUGUUGAAUGGACACAGAACGUUUGGGCUUCGGAGCUAUCUGACCGGAAAUUUAGAUAAAAUUAGAAUGAGGUCCAUUUUCCCUAGAUAUUUGAGAAAUAUAAACCAGAUCGUCCCAUUGAUACAGAGAAAAGAAUUCGGGUCUGAGCCGUCUGACC
rnacentral:lncRNA from 1 species